GCCGGGAUGGCUUAGUUGGAAGAGCGCCGGACUCAUAAUAUCCGGAGGUCUCGGGUUCAAUCCCCGAUCCCGGCA
rnacentral:tRNA from 1 species